rnacentral:lncRNA from 1 species
AAGAAUUGGAGGAAGGUAAUCAACUUUACCACCAAGAACACGCGCUUUCGUAUCAGGGAAAAACUCGGUUCCGGGCAGUUCGGUCACAUUACCUUCACUAGCAACCCCUAUCGGGUAACGAAGCAAGUGACCGGGCAGGUCUUGUUCAAGAUUCUCACUAGCGAAAAGGUCCCAAUAUUUUUCGGCCAUGUGGUUAACUUUUUUCACACACUCGGUAUUUUCUGGGUUCUGGAAAGUGUCGUCGAGCAUGCCUAAGUGUUCAUACCAUAAAGCCAUACGGAACCCGUGAAUCUGACCCCUUGCGGGUUCACUGCGGGUUGAUAAGUGGUAUGGUUGGUAGGCGCCCAUUGCGAUCUCGGAGUCUCGUGCACCAUCCAUGGAUCGUUGGUUGAUGUUUGCGGAUCCGACUAUUAUAUCAUGAACCGGCGAGCCGCUUGUGCUUUUUCAUAAUCCGAAUCCGGGUCAGGCCGUUCAGAAGGUUCGUAUUCGCCGCUCUUCUUCACCUCACGGUUCCCAAGGCAAAAGAACGUGAGAUAAUCUCUGGGGUCAUCCUGAAGCCCCUCAGCUUCAAGAGCCCGAACGAUAUCUUUAUACAUCAUCUCCAUAGUCCUCCUUUGCCAAUCCAAUAUCGCUUGAACCGAUGCACUCUCGGGUAUCCCUUCGGGCCACAUCGGGACCACAACAUAAACCGUAAACUUUUCAUGGGCAUGAAUCUUACUCGCAAUCUUUAACGAAAGUUCUUUCGGGAUAAGAUGCAACGCACCGACGUCUUCGCCUUUAACAUCAUCAAACUCCCAUGCGUACGAACUUCCGAGAAAAUACUGAUUUUCGAUGUAGAUAAAACGUUUAGCUCUCCUUAUAGCAUGAAUAUACGCAUCUUGUAUGCUUCUAUCGAUUAUGUUAUCUUUCCCGCUGACUAGACCCGAGUUAGCCGCAUCUUCGGGACUAUCCGGGAACCCGAAAGCGGCCCCACCAUCAAUCGAUCGAAACACUUGAACGUUCCAUGUUUCUUGGUCAUCUGGAAACAUGACAGGAGAAGGUGGCGUUAAGAUGCCGUCAAGUUCUCGUAAAUUAACAAGAAUGUCUUUCCCGCCUUGUUUUUUCCACCGUUGUUCGAAGUUAAACAAAACGUCCCACGCAACGGGUCCUUCAAGCCGGCUAUGUAUGUCAUGCCACGGUUCGCGGGGCCCACCUUUGGUUAUGGAAGCGCCGGUGUAGUUCGGCUGGUGGAAAUCGUCAUGGUGAGCGGUAUCAAGCGUUCGGAAAAGCGAAUGAAACGGGGUAUCGUACCGCCCGUCACAGAGAUCAAUGCCGCCAACGAAACUCACCACGCGGCGGUUCGUUGAGUCACCAGUCGGCAUCGCAGCGUCCACCACUACGAUUUUCUGGUGGUGAGUGAACAUGGUGGAAAUCUGAAGGUCUUGAAUGAAACUUGCGCCGUCAUCAGGAUUACGGGGGCAUAAAACGCAAUGAACUUCGGAAUUUUGGAAAUAGUUUUCAGUAUCUUCGUCAUGCGUAGCCAUUAAUCCGUCUCGUUUGAAUAUGUCCACAGAUGUUCUAUCGUCCCAAACAAGCAUAAGAACGCGAACACCUUCACUCGCUUUUCGUUUUAGAAGCUCACCGAGUGUAACGUCACCUCCCGCCUUCUGCCGCCUCGAAUCGCGUAUCAAAGUUAUCUCGGUGUAAACCGACCACCCCGUAAUAUAAAUAAAGUGUUUCGCGUCGGUUAUCGCAUCAAACACAUCCUCCCAACAUCUAUGUGGCUCGUAAAAUUCCCCGUUAGCAAGGGGUAUUUUAGGAAUGAAACCAUCGGGGACGUGCGCAUCUUGAUAUAACGAAACCCGACAUCCGUUUCUCUGACCAAAGAACGUGUACGGAACUCCGGGAUAUUUAGCACUUUUAACUCCACGGUCCCAGUUACGAUCUUGUGUAACAUCGAAAUACUGUACUUUUACGUGGAUUUUAGAACCUGCGCUUAUAGGAUUUUUAUCUUCGUCUAGAAUCUCGACCCAUCGAUCCAAUUCUUCACCGUCUAAGAUUUCUUCAAUGGGGAUAUAAGCCCGCCCAAUUAAGGUUGCACCGACGGGAUUAUCGUCUUUGACUGUGAAUAUGACGUUAGAAGCUGAGUGCGCACAGUAAAUGUGGAAUGACUCAUUCCACUUCGGGGUUUCAGGCUCAUCGGUAAUCAUUCUGGUUCGCCCAACUCGGGCUUUUUCGAGAUCGACGGUUGCAUACAUUUUCGGAGUUCCCUUUCCAAAUCCGAUAGUCUCCUCUAUGUUAGCCACAAUCUGCAAAACGAAUUGAUAAUAAAGAAAAAUGUGUAUUUAUAAAUACUAUAUAUUAUGUUACACAACACUGUUGCAAGUUAUAGGCUUGUAUGAUAUGAUGAGGAUCAUUAGAGAACAUUAAAUUAUUGCAAUAACAACUUGAUAAUCGGUGAUUCAUAUU